GGAAGCAGCCGCAGCCGAGAGCGCCCGCACUGCUCUACAGGAGACGCGGCUGCUCUUGGUAGCGAGACGCACGUACACUCACAUAAAUAAGCAUCUGCACACGUAACCCAUCUACUCCUUCGGCUGCACUAGACUGUGGCAUUCAUCUUCCGUUGUCACGGUGUGCGUUGCCCGCGAGGCGUACCCCGGGGACAACCUUCACGCCAGGGCGCGCUCUGGUGCUGGUUCUCUUCAAUCCCGGUGACGCGACACUCGUGCCCGUGUGCGUGGGAAGUAUCUCACGUGCAGAUCUCAUUUUUGAGAUGCCGCCUCCGCGGAGACCAUGAGAGAAACGUGUGCGACGUCCAGGGAGGCGACAUUGCCCGAGCUGGCGCGCGAGUGCUACCGCUUCGUGGCAGAGCUGAUUCUUGGCAAGGCCGCUGCCGCCGACAUUGGAGGCUACAGGAACGUCCACCACACACGAUGGCAGGAACGCCGCAGUAUGGCUGCUGAGACGCUCGCCGGAACAGAGCAGCGUUCGCGACAGCAACACCAGCGCAGCCCUGCCGAGCACUUAAUCAGCCAACUUGCGCGGCUUUGUCCGCUUCUUUGCUCUACGGUUGGAGAGGAUGGCCUCUGCGGCGAUGGGGGCACGCUGACGCUAGCAGACAGUGCGCUUGCGCCGCCCCCGCGAAGCAACGCAAGCGCAGGGAUGGCUGAGAUGCCACCGUCGUGGCAAUCAAGAACGGCAGCCUCGCCACCGAACUGGUGGGACAGCGCUGCCGACGCCCUCGAUGCGCUCUUCGAUGCCGUGGACAUGUACGUGGACUCGACCGCUGUAUCGCCCACUUUCACGAUGCCCGCCCUCUCGCUACCGGCAGCGGCGCUUGGCGGUCAGUCGCUUUCGCAGAUCGAGGCUGCGCUGACCGAGGAAAGCUGCAUUAUGGCUGGACUACUGCUCCACCGCGAGGUGCGGCCACGCAGUGGACCGUGUUAUGCGACGGUGGUGCCUCCUGUGCUCGUGGUGUUGGACUUGGAUGGCACGUUGCUGCGCUCGCCCCUCAGCUCCAUCUCGCUUCGAGCCGCGCAGGUGGCGACUACGGCGGAGGUGCGCGCGCUUUUCGUGGAUGCAGAUUUCCUAGGCGCGUUCUGUGAAGCUGUCAACCAACACGGGCAUGAGCUGGCGAUCUGCUCGCUGACAGAAGGGACGGCAGAUCAGUGGGCCACGUGUCUCUCCGUCGCUGAGGCAGUUGUGUGCUUGCUCUCGCGCGUUCUUCCACCGACCCGCGCCUAUCUCAACAGCAUCGACGAUGUUGUGUGCUUGCCGAGGUCGGUGGCGGGGCCGGGGAAGCUGUACCACCUGCAAGAGCUGCAGCAGCGUAGAAACGCGCGUGAUGAGGAGCAGCGCCUGCGAAAGAGUCGGAUUCAUCCACAGCAGCAGCCGCGGCCGACCUACAACACCUGCGCUGAAGCCGCCGAUGAUGCCAGCAAUUCCCUGCGCACCGGCCUCUCUCCGUUACCUCCGCAGACCCCCUCCGUUCACCAUGAUGACAUUGUGGGCGGGCUGUGGUACCCGUCGACGCUUCUGCUGCCCAAGUGGCUGAGCACCGACUUGGUGCUGAUCGACGACGACAGAGAGAACUGCCGCAUGGCGGUGACGCAAGGCUAUCACGCCACGCCGUGCGCCGAGACUGGGAUGAGCGCCUCGUGGUACGCGGCUAACCCAGAGCUGCAGGUGCUCCUCGGCAUCCCGGCAAGCGAAGUGGUGCCGCACAACGGUGCUCGUUCACGGCGGACGUCGCUGUGAUGCUGAGCAGAGUUGCCGGACCUUGUGGGAUACAUGCACCCGUGUUGUGUGUGGUUUGUUUGCUUCGCUCUCGUUUUGUGCUCCCUCAGCCACUUUGGAACUAUACAGGGCCCAGCUGCGCUGUAUGGACGCUAACGCUUUCACGAUGGCGCAGUCUCGUGUAGGCGCCUGAGUGUGCGCAGAAACGGGUCGCAUAGUAGCGGGCUGCUCAGCCAAUCACGGACGAUCAAGAUUGCUGUCAUGGCUCUUAUCGCGGGUAGCGAUGGAGAAGCGAAAAAAGACGAAACGAAAAGGAAAUACACGCCAAGCUGACGAUGGCCGCGCGAUGCCGGCGGCCUUGGUGUAAGGCGACUGCUGGCGAGCACGGCAACUCGCCAGUCAGCUGAAGAGGAUGAAGAGAGAAGACAACAAGUGACGGGCACUGCAGACAAAAUCGGGCGGUCCGCACCCCCCCCGUCACCAUCCCCCGCUGGUCUUCUUCCAUGCGUCCCUCUCUUCAAUGUUGACUCUCGCACAUCACACCUCGCUCUGAUUCCGUUCCUCCCUCCUCUUUCCCUUUUUUUGCCUUUGUUCUCUCAACUCUCCACGCAAACGCACGACGCGCUCUCCCUUCGGAAAAUACACGCCACCACCGCCACCAUCACAAG
rnacentral:misc_RNA from 1 species